rnacentral:rRNA from 1 species
AUUGAACGCUGGCGGCAGGCCUAACACAUGCAAGUCGAACGGUAACAGGAAGCAGCUUGCUGCUUUGCUGCCGAGUGGCGGACGGGUGAGUAAUGUCUGGGAAACUGCCCGAUGGAGGGGGAUAACUACUGGAAACGGUAGCUAAUACCGCAUAACGUCGCAAGACCAAAGAGGGGGACCUUAGGGCCUCUUGCCAUCGGAUGUGCCCAGAUGGGAUUAGCUAGUAGGUGGGGUAACGGCUCACCUAGGCGACGAUCCCUAGCUGGUCUGAGAGGAUGACCAGCCACACUGGAAGUGAGACACGGUCCAGACUCCUACGGGAGGCAGCAGUGGGGAAUAUUGCACAAUGGGCGCAAGCCUGAUGCAGCCAUGCCGCGUGUAUGAAGAAGGCCUUCGGGUUGUAAAGUACUUUCAGCGGGGAGGAAGGGAGUAAAGUUAAUACCUUGGCUCAUUGACGUUACCCGCAGAAGAAGCACCGGCUAACUCCGUG